UGGCGGCGUGCCUAAUACAUGCAAGUAGAACGCUGAAGAGAGGAGCUUGCUCUUCUUGGAUGAGUUGCGAACGGGUGAGUAACGCGUAGGUAACCUGCCUGGUAGCGGGGGAUAACUAUUGGAAACGAUAGCUAAUACCGCAUAAAAUUGAUUAUUGCAUGAUAAUUAAUUGAAAGAUGCAACUGCAUCACUACCAGAUGGACCUGCGUUGUAUUAGCUAGUUGGUGAGGUAACGGCUCACCAAGGCGACGAUACAUAGCCGACCUGAGAGGGUGAUCGGCCACACUGGGACUGAGACACGGCCCAAACUCCUACGGGAGGCACCAAAAGG
rnacentral:rRNA from 1 species